GACGUAGGGGGCGAGCGUUGUCCGGAUUCAUUGGGCGUAAAGCGCGCGUAGGCGGCCCGGUAAGUAGGGGGUGAAAUCCUGCGGCUCAACCGCAGGGCUGCCUUCUAAACUGUCGAGCUCGAGCACGGUAGAGGCAGAUGGAAUUCCCGGUGUAGCGGUGGAAUGCGUAGAGAUCGGGAAGAACAUCAGUGGCGAAGGCGGUCUGCUGGGCCGUUGCUGACGCUGAGGCGCGACAGCGUGGGGAGCAAACAGG
rnacentral:rRNA from 1 species